UACAGAGGUCCCGAGCGUUGUUCGGAUUCAUUGGGCGUAAAGGGUGCGUAGGCGGCGGGGUAAGUUUGAUGUGAAAUCCCGGGGCUCAACCCUGGAAUGGCAUUGAAUACUGCCUUGCUAGAGUACCGGAGAGGAAACUGGAAUUUACGGUGUAGCAGUGAAAUGCGUAGAGAUCGUAAGGAAGACCAGUGGCGAAGGCGGCAUCCUGGACCAUAACUGACGCUGAGGCGCGAAAGCUAGGGGAGCAAACGGG
rnacentral:rRNA from 1 species